CGCUUCUAUUUCUAUGUCAGAGCAUAUGGUCACAGAUAAAUAUCCUUUUCUUUCGUUCUCAAAAUAUCGACAUCCUUUGAUGGGAACGAAUCUUCCUACGAGAGAAUAGUGAUGCAGAUUUCAUCCAAAUAAAGAUAAUACAAAGUUCAUAAAUCAGACGGCGUGUUUUGACGUGGUACCUUCCUUGCCUUAGACUCACCAACCGUGCUCAUCCACAGAUUCCACACAGAUUAGAAGUAGGUGCCGUAAGUUGACUCGGUGCCAACCCGAUAUAUGAGUCUAAUAGCGGUAAAAGACUACAAAGUACCCAUCGCUCACAUAAGCUAUUCUUGUUCAACGCGGC
rnacentral:lncRNA from 1 species